AGUCCAUUAGGGUAGCGGCCAAUCCUGAAGCCUUCUGGGGGCUUCGACGCUGGUUCGAAUCCAGCAUGGACUA
rnacentral:tRNA from 8 species